AGAGUUUGAUCCUGGCUCAGAUUGAACGCUGGCGGAAUGCUUUACACAUGCAAGUCGAACGGCAGCACGGGGGCAACCCUGGUGGCGAGUGGCGAACGGGUGAGUAAUACAUCGGAACGUGCCCAGUCGUGGGGGAUAACGUAGCGAAAGCUACGCUAAUCCGCAUACGAUCUAUGGAUGAAAGCGGGGGACCGUAAGCCUCGCGCGAUUGGAGCGGCCGAUGGCAGAUUAGGUAGUUGGUGGGGUAAAGGCUCACCAAGCCUGCGAUCUGUAGCUGGUCUGAGAGGACGACCAGCCACACUGGGACUGAGACACGGCCCAGACUCCUACGGGAGGCAGCAGUGGGGAAUUUUGGACAAUGGGCGCAAGCCUGAUCCAGCCAUUCCGCGUGCAGGAUGAAGGCCUUCGGGUUGUAAACUGCUUUUGUACGGAACGAAAAGGCUCUUUCUAAUACAGAGGGCUCAUGACGGUACCGUAAGAAUAAGCACCGGCUAACUACGUGCCAGCAGCCGCGGUAAUACGUAGGGUGCAAGCGUUAAUCGGAAUUACUGGGCGUAAAGCGUGCGCAGGCGGUGAUGUAAGACAGAUGUGAAAUCCCCGGGCUCAACCUGGGAACUGCAUUUGUGACUGCAUCGCUGGAGUGCGGCAGAGGGGGAUGGAAUUCCGCGUAGCAGUGAAAUGCGUAGAUAUGCGGAGGAACACCGAUGGCGAAGGCAAUCCCCUGGGCCUGCACUGACGCUCAUGCACGAAAGCGUGGGGAGCAAACAGGAUUAGAUACCCUAGUAGUCC
rnacentral:rRNA from 1 species